GAUGAACGCUGGCGGCGUGCCUAACACAUGCAAGUCGAGCGAUUCUCUUCGGAGAAGAGCGGCGGACGGGUGAGUAACGCGUGGGUAACCUGCCCUGUACACACGGAUAACAUACCGAAAGGUAUGCUAAUACGAGAUAAUAUGCUUUUGUCGCAUGGUAGAAGUAUCAAAGCUCCGGCGGUACAGGAUGGACCCGCGUCUGAUUAGCUAGUUGGUAAGGUAACGGCUUACCAAGGCGACGAUCAGUAGCCGACCUGAGAGGGUGAUCGGCCACAUUGGAACUGAGACACGGUCCAAACUCCUACGGGAGGCAGCAGUGGGGAAUAUUGCACAAUGGGCGAAAGCCUGAUGCAGCAACGCCGCGUGAGCGAUGAAGGCCUUCGGUCGUAAGCUCUGUCCUCAAGAAGAUAAUGACGGUACUUGAGGAGGAAGCCCGGCUAACUACGUGCCAGCAGCCGCGGUAAAUACUCGUA
rnacentral:rRNA from 1 species